rnacentral:lncRNA from 1 species
CCGGCCGAAGUUUGUAAAAGACCGACCCUUUCAGGGCUUUUUCGGCCUCCAAUCUGGUGUGUCGCCUCUCUGAACCCCCUUGACCGUCCGAGUUUCCGGACUUCUCUAACAAUGAGCUUCGCCAUUCAUUUACCGGGCCGCUCCGAAGGCUCUCUAGGCCUCACUAUCAGCCGACCUUCUACGGUGAUCAACUAUUCUCCGAAUUCCUUCCAGACUUCUUCUGGCGGUGGAUGACCCUACUCCGAACUUCUUCCAAACUUCGUCAAUAUCCGAGCUUCUCCGGCAAUGAAGAUUUCUACAGUAACCAGACUUCAUCCAAGUUGCUACGGC